CACGCCGUAAACGAUGAAUGCCAGUCGUCGGGCAGCAUGCUGUUCGGUGACACACCUAACGGAUUAAGCAUUCCGCCUGGGGAGUACGGCCGCAAGGUUAAAACUCAAAGGAAUUGACGG
rnacentral:rRNA from 1 species